AUUGAACGCUGGCGGCAGGCCUAACACAUGCAAGUCGAGCGGAGCGGCGGACGGGUGAUGAAUGCCUAGGAAUCGGCCUGGUGGUGGGGGAUAACGUCCGGAAACGGGGGUUAAUACCGAAUACUAUCAGUUGAGCUUAGGUCGGAUUAGCUGGUUGUUGGGUGAAAGGCCUACCAAGGCGACGAUCCGUAACUGGUCGGAGAGGAUGAUCAGUCACACUGGAACUGAGACACGGUCCAGACUCCUACGGGAGGCAGCAGUGGGGAAUAUUGGACAAUGGGCGAAAGCCUGAUCCAGCCAUGCCGCGUGUGUGAAGAAGGCCUUCGGGUUGUAAAGUACUUUCAGCGGGGAGGCGUUACCCGCAGAAGAAGCACCGGCUAACUCCGUGCCAGCAGCCGCGGUAAUUC
rnacentral:rRNA from 1 species